GAUGAAGAACGUAGCGAAAUGCGAUACGUAAUGUGAAUUGCAGAAUUCAGUGAAUCAUCGAAUCUUUGAACGCAUAUUGCGCUCUUUGGUAUUCCGAAGAGCAUGUUUGUUUGAGUAUCAGUAAACACCUCAAAGCUUUUGGAUUUUUUAAUCGAAAAGCUUUGGACUUGAGCAAUCCCAACACCAAUCUUUUUGAGAUCGGUGGCGGGUUGCUUGAAAUGCAGGUGCAGCUGGACAUUCUCCUGAGCUAAAAGCAUAUUCAUUUAGUCCCGUCAAACGGAUUAUUACUUUUGCUGCAGCUAACAUAAAGGGAGUUUGACCGUAUUGGCUGACUGAUGCAGGAUUUCACAAGGGUCGGCAACGAUUCUUGUUAAACUCGAUCUCAAAUCAAGUAAGACUACCCGCUGAACUUAAGCAUAUCAAUAAGCGGAGGA
rnacentral:misc_RNA from 1 species